rnacentral:rRNA from 1 species
GUGUCAGCAGCCGCGGUAAUACGGAGGGGGCUAGCGUUGUUCGGAAUUACUGGGCGUAAAGCGCGCGUAGGCGGUUUGCCAAGUCAGAGGUGAAAGCCCGGGGCUUAACCUCGGAAUUGCCUUUGAGACUGGCAGGCUUGAGUACGGGAGAGGUAAGUGGAAUUCCGAGUGUAGAGGUGAAAUUCGUAGAUAUUCGGAAGAACACCAGUGGCGAAGGCGGCUUACUGGACCGUUACUGACGCUGAGGCGCGAAAGCGUGGGGAGCAAACAGGAUUAGAUACCCUGGUAGUCCACGCCGUAAACGAUGGGUGCUAGAUGUUGGGGGCCUUUGGCUUCCGGUGUCGCAGCUAACGCGUUAAGCACCCCGCCUGGGGAGUACGGUCGCAAGAUUAAAACUCAAAUGAAUUGACGGGG